rnacentral:rRNA from 1 species
CAAGCGCCGAAGAAGGACGUGGCAAGCUGCGAAAAGCUACGGGGAGCCGCAAGCGGGCAGAGAACCGUAGAUAUCCGAAUGGGGGAACCCGGCGGACGGAAGGUCCGUCACGCUGAGAUGAACACAUAGUCUCAGGCGAGGGAACCCGGGGAACUGAAACAUCUAAGUACCCGGAGGAAAAGAAAGAAAGAACGAUUCUCCAAGUAGCGGCGAGCGAACGGGGAAGAGCCCAAACCACCAGCUACGGCGUGGUGGGGUUGCGGGCCGGCGGGAAGCAACGUGGAGGUUUAGUCGAAUAGGGAAGGAAAGCCCAGCCAGAGGGGGUAACAGCCCCGUAGACGAAAAGCCGAAGCGGCGAGCCGGUACCAGAGUACCGCAGGACACGAGGAAUCCGGCGGGAAGCAGGGGGGACCACCCUCCAAGGCUAAAUACGACUUGGUGACCGAUAGCGCAUAGUACCGUGAGGGAAAGGUGAAAAGGACCCCGGGAGGGGAGUGAAAGAGAACCUGAAACCCUAUGUUUACAAGCAGAGGGAGCGCGGUUGAAGCGCGACCUUGUACUUUUUGUAGAACGGACCGGCGAGUUGCGACAGCCAGCGAGGUUAAGGUAUUGAGUACUGGAGCCGAAGCGAAAGCGAGUCUGAAGAGGGCGAAACAGUUGGCGAGCGCAGACCCGAAACCGGGUGAUCUAUCCAUGGCCAGGUUGAAGUGAGCGUAAAAGUUCAUGGAGGACCGAACCAGACGUCUGUUGAAAAAGGCGGGGAUGAGCUGUGGAUAGGGGAGAAAUUCCAAUCGAACCCGGAGAUAGCUGGUUCUCCUCGAAAUAGCUUUAGGGCUAGCCUCGUAUUAGAUUACCGGAGGUAGAGCACUGACUGGGCGCGGGGGUCACAAAGCCUACCAAACCUUAUCAAACUGCGAAUGCCGGAUAAUUGAUGUACGGGAGUCAGUCCGCGGGAGAUAAGUUCCGCGGGCGAAAGGGGAACACCCCAGAUCGUCCGCUAAGGUCCCGAAGUACGUGUUAAGUGGGAAAGGAUGUGUAAUUGCACAGACAACCAGGAUGUUGGCUUAGAAGCAGCCAUACAUUGAAAGAGUGCGUAAUAGCUCACUGGUCGAGUGGUUGUGCGCCGAAGAUGUCCGGGGCUAAAACACGUCACCGAAGCGGCGGAUUCGCGAUUGCGAAGAGCGGAAGCGAGUGGUAGAGGAGCAUUGUGUACAGGCAGAAGCAUGACCGUGAGGACAUGUGGACAGUACAGAAGCGAGAAUGCCGGUAUGAGUAGCGAGAGGCAUGUGAGAACCAUGCCGGUCGAAAGCCCAAGGUUUCCUGGGGAAGGUUCAUCCGCCCAGGGUAAGUCGGGACCUAAGCCGAGGACGGGAGUCGUAGGCGAUGGACAGCAGGUGGAGAUUCCUGCACUACCCGCAGAAUGAAGCAGUGACACAGAAGGAUAGCUCGUGCGCGGUGAUGGUCAACCGCGUGAAAGCAUCGAGUGUGGUCUGUAGUGAAGAACGCAGGCCGUGAAGCAUGAGUUGUGAGAGGACCGAAGUCAAGUAGGGAAGCGAGUGAUUUCACGCUGGCGAGAAAAGCUGCUAGUAUAUCUGCGCGGUACCCGUACCGCAAACCGACACAGGUGGGCAAGGAGAGGAUCCUGAGACGGACGGGAGAACCCUUGUUAAGGAACUCGGCAAAAUGACCCCGUAACUUCGGGAGAAGGGGUGCCUGCGCGAGCAGGCCGCAGAGAAGAGGCCCAAGCGACUGUUUAUCAAAAACACAGGUAUCUGCGAAAGCGAGAGCUGACGUAUAGGUGCUGACACCUGCCCGGUGCUGGAAGGUUAAGGGGACCUGUCAUCGCGAGAGAAGCAGCGAACCGAAGCCCCAGUAAACGGCGGCCGUAACUAUAACGGUCCUAAGGUAGCGAAAUUCCUUGUCGGGUAAGUUCCGACCCGCACGAAUGGUGUAACGAUUUGGGCGCUGUCUCAACAAGGGGCCCGGUGAAAUUGAAGUAUGGGUGAAGAUGCCCAUUACCCGCGACUGGACGGAAAGACCCCGUAGAGCUUUACUGUAACCUGAUAUUGGAUUUCGGUAACGGAUGCACAGGAUAGGUGGGAGACUGGGAAGUGUGCGCUUCGGCGUGCAUGGAGUCGCUGUUGGGAUACCACUCUUCUGUUGCUGAAAUUCUAACAUAGCACCGUAAGCCGGUGGAUGGACAGUGUCAGGCGGACAGUUUGACUGGGGCGGUCGCCUCCUAAAGAGUAACGGAGGCGCCCAAAGGUACCCUCAGAAUGGAUGGAAACCAUUCGCA